UGCAGCUUUGUCAAAUUCAGUGCUUAUUCUACCCAUGAUAGGCACUGGCCCAGAAGGCUGCCACAGAAACAUUGUGACUCAUGGGCCCUGUUCCCUUUGACUAGGCUCAGGGAUAAAUUUGGUCACAGACAACA
ensembl:snoRNA SNORA5A small nucleolar RNA, H/ACA box 5A